rnacentral:rRNA from 1 species
GUGAGGAAUAUUGGACAAUGGGCGCAAGCCUGAUCCAGCCAUGCCGCGUGCAGGAAGACGCAUCUAUGGUGUGUAAACUGCUUUUGUACGGGAAGAAACACUCCCUCGUGAGGGAGCUUGACGGUACCGUAAGAAUAAGGAUCGGCUAACUCCGUGCCAGCAGCCGCGGUAAUACGGAGGAUCCAAGCGUUAUCCGGAAUCAUUGGGUUUAAAGGGUCAGUAGGCGGUUUAAUAAGUCAGUGGUGAAAGCCCAUCGCUCAACGAUGGAACGGCCAUUGAUACUGUUAGACUUGAAUUACAAGGAAGUAACUAGAAUAUGUAGUGUAGCGGUGAAAUGCUUAGAUAUUACAUGGAAUACCAAUUGCGAAGGCAGGUUACUACUUGUGGAUUGACGCUGAUGGACGAAAGCGUGGGGAGCGAACAGGAUUAGAAACCCGAGUAGUCC